rnacentral:rRNA from 1 species
GUGAGGAAUUUUCCGCAAUGGGCGAAAGUCUGACGGAGCAAUGCCGCGUGAAGGAUGAAGGCCUAUGGGUUGUAAACUUCUUUUCUCAGAAAAGAAUUAUGACGGUAUCUGAGGAAUAAGCAUCGGCUAACUCUGUGCCAGCAGCCGCGGUAAGACAGAGGAUGCAAGCGUUAUCCGGAAUGAUUGGGCGUAAAGCGUCUGUAGGUUGUUUAAAAAGUAUUCUGUCAAAGAUUAGGGCUUAACCCUAGAUAGGCAGAAUAAACUUUUAAGCUAGAGUUUGGUAGAGGCAGAGGGAAUUCCCGGUGGAGCGGUGAAAUGCGUAGAUAUCGGGAGGAACACCAAAGGCGAAGGCACUCUGCUGGGCCAAUACUAACACUGAGAGACGAAAGCGAGGGGAGCAAAUGGGAUUAGAAACCCGAGUAGUCC